UGAAAAAUAACCUCCGUCAUCAAAUCCGCCGGGUGAACGAACCGGAACAUCUCCGGGAUGGCAGAUUUUUCUCACAUUUGGUGGGCGUGUGGAGCUGUUCGGUUACGGGACAAAACCCGCAGUGGAAACGCAGACCCGGCGCAUACUGCGGACAUUUCCGGCCACCGUCAAUAAUCCAUUCCGAAUGGAGGCCUCCAAGAUGCCAAGUGCUCGAUCUGGAAAAGCUACGAGGAGUUCGAACAUCUUCGUAGUCUACUACUUCCAACGCGGAUGCUCGUAGACGUGAAAUGCGGACAUUCCAGUUUGCCAUCAUGGUUCCUUUCUUGGUGGCAACGUUAAUUCCUGAAGCAGCAGGACAUUUGAAGAUGAAGAAGUGGACUCUCGACAAAACGGAGCUUUUGGCCGACAGCUUGAAGCGGAAUUACGAAAGAAAACGUCGGAGGGAGCCCAACGACAGUUUCAACUCGACCGCGGCGGUGAUUAAAGGAAACCCUUCCUGAAUGGCGAGAUGCUGGACGGACGGCGGUGACGAAAAUCCUGACGGGAGUU
rnacentral:lncRNA from 1 species